GACGAACGCUGGCGGCGUGCUUAACACAUGCAAGUCGAACGGAAAGGCCCUGCUUGCCGGGUACUCGAGUGGCGAACGGGUGAGAAACACGUGGGUGAUCUGCCCUGCACUUCGGGAUAAGCCUGGGAAACUGGGUCUAAUACCGGAUAGGAGCCAUUUUUAGUGUGAUGGUUGGAAAGUUUUUUCGGUGUAGGAUGAGCUCGCGGCCUAUCAGCUUGUUGGUGGGGUAAUGGCCUACCAAGGCGGCGACGGGUAGCCGGCCUGAGAGGGUGGACGGCCACAUUGGGACUGAGAUACGGCCCAGACUCCUACGGGAGGCAGCAGUGGGGAAUAUUGCACAAUGGGCGCAAGCCUGAUGCAGCGACGCCGCGUGGGGGAGGACGGCCUUCGGGUUGUAAACUCCUUUCGCUAGGGACGAAGCUUUUUGUGACGGUACCUAGAUAAGAAGCACCGGCUAACUACGUG
rnacentral:rRNA from 1 species